UUAAAGCUGUUAUUGAAAUUUGAUAGUUUUGUGCCUGAUGCAUGAAUGCCUUGUUUCUCUCUUGCUAGCUGGUCUGCAGGAGUGACUGUUCCUGAGCAUACAACCAUGACCCUCUGCCUGUAUUCCACUCAUGCCUCUGUUCCUCGUACAUUCACUAAAAGUUUCACAUGAGCUUUUGGUUACUCCAUGAUGCCCACUGAACUUUUGUAAAUUAUGGUAAGUACCUUGUCUGAAUUCCUCAGAAAUAUGCCAGUUGGCUCCAUAAAAUUUCAGUU
rnacentral:lncRNA from 1 species